AUUUAAAUAGCUUAUAUUUUUUAGAGCAUAGCAUUGAAGCUGCUAAGGAAACUUUUGUUUUUAAAUA
rnacentral:tRNA from 1 species